rnacentral:rRNA from 1 species
AUUGAACGCUGGCGGCAGGCCUAACACAUGCAAGUCGAACGAGUGGCGGACGGGUGAGUAAUGUCUGGGAAACUGCCUGAUGGAGGGGGAUAACUACUGGAAACGGUAGCUAAUACCGCAUACCAUCGGAUGUGCCCAGAUGGGAUUAGCUAGUGGGGGGGGUAAAGGCGCACCUAGGCGACGAUCCCUAGCUGGUCUGAGAGGAGGACAAGCCACACGGGAACUGAGACACGGUCCAGACUCCGACGGGAGGCAGCAGUGGGGAAUAUUGCACAAUGGGCGCAAGCCUGAUGCAGCGAUGCCGCGUGUAUGAAGAAGGCCUUGGGGUUGUAAAGUACUUUCAGCGGGGGGGCGUUACCCGCAGAAGAAGCACCGGCUAACUCCGUGCCAGCAGCCGCGGUAAUUC